GACGAACGCUGGCGGCGUGCUUAACACAUGCAAGUCGAACGGAAAGGCCCUGCUUUUGUGGGGUUCUCGAUUGGCGAACGCGUGAGUAACACGUGAGUAACCUCCCCUUGACUUUGGGAUAACUUCAGGAAACUGGGGCUAAUACCGGAUAUGAUCUCCUGCUGCAUGGUGUUGGUUGGAAAGUUUCGGCGGUUGUGGAUGGUCUCGCUGCUUAUGCGCUUGUUGGUGUGGUAGUUGUUUACCAAGGGUUCGACGGGUAGGCCGCAUGAGAGGUGGAACGGGGACCAGGGGCCUGCGGUACGGACCAGAAGGCAACGGGAGGCAGCAGUGGGGAACCUUGCAGAAUGGGGGGAAGCGUGAGGCAGCAACGUCGCGUGCGGGAUGACGGGUUUCGGGUUGUAAACAGCUGUGGCCGGUACCGAGGCGUGAGUGACGGUAAUGGGUCAAGAAGCAACGGCUAACUACGUG
rnacentral:rRNA from 1 species